AGAGUUUGAUCCUGGCUCAGAUUGAACGCUGGCGGCAUGCCUUACACAUGCAAGUCGAACGGUAACAGGUUAAGCUGACGAGUGGCGAACGGGUGAGUAAUACAUCGGAACGUGCCCAGUAGUGGGGGAUAGCCCGGCGAAAGCCGGAUUAAUACCGCAUACGACCUAAGGGUGAAAGGGGGGGAUCGCAAGACCUCUCGCUAUUGGAGCGGCCGAUGUCAGAUUAGCUAGUUGGUGGGGUAAAAGCUCACCAAGGCGACGAUCUGUAGCUGGUCUGAGAGGACGACCAGCCACACUGGGACUGAGACACGGCCCAGACUCCUACGGGAGGCAGCAGUGGGGAAUUUUGGACAAUGGGCGCAAGCCUGAUCCAGCCAUGCCGCGUGCGGGAAGAAGGCCUUCGGGUUGUAAACCGCUUUUGUCAGGGAAGAAAUCCUUUGGGUUAAUACCUCGGGGGGAUGACGGUACCUGAAGAAUAAGCACCGGCUAACUACGUGCCAGCAGCCGCGGUAAUACGUAGGGUGCAAGCGUUAAUCGGAAUUACUGGGCGUAAAGCGUGCGCAGGCGGUUCUAUAAGACAGAUGUGAAAUCCCCGGGCUCAACCUGGGAACUGCAUUUGUGACUGUAGAGCUGGAGUGCGGCAG
rnacentral:rRNA from 1 species